GACCGCUAGUGAAAAUCGAUUUUCACUGGCGGUCGGCGUAAUAAAACCGCCAGUGAAAAUCGAUUUUCACUGGCGGUC
rnacentral:pre_miRNA from 7 species